rnacentral:ncRNA from 1 species
CCCGCGGAGUUUAAGCAUAUCAAUAAGUGGAGGAAAAGAAACUUACGAGGAUUCUCCUAAUAACAGCGAGCGAACCGGGACAAGCUCAAGUAGAGAAUCAAGCCCCGUCAUGCCCGGACUCUGUCGCACCACGAGGCGCUGUCGGCGAGUCGGGUUGUUUGGGAAUGCAGCCUCAAUCGUGCGGUAAAUUUUGUCCAAGGCUAAAUAUUAGCGAGAGACUCAUAGCAAACAAGUGCCGCGAGGGGAAGAUGAAAAGGAAUUUGAAAAUAGAGUCAAAGAGUGCUUGAAAUUGUUAGGAGGGAAGUGGAUGGGGGCUGGCGAUGCGCCCCGGUCGGAUGUGGAACGGAGAGAGCCGGACCGUCGAUCGGCUUGGGGCACGGACCGAUGUAGAUUGCGGCGGCUGCCCAAGCCCAGGCUGUCGACAUGCCCGUGGAGACGCCUUCGCCGUGGAAGGCAGCGUGUGCUGUCCAGCCUUUGCACCUACGCGCUCCAAGCACCGGUCUAUUGGCUUCCUAUCUAGCCCGUCUUGAAACAUGG